rnacentral:rRNA from 1 species
CCUGGUAAUUAGAGCGGAUUGGAACUACCUGAUCCCAUCCCGAACUCAGAAGUAAAACAAUCCAGCGCUGACGAUAGUGAUCCCGCAAGGGAUUGCGAAAAUAAGUCAUUGCCAGGA